AAGAGCCCGUUGCGGGAAAACCGCACGGCGGGUUCUGUGAGGGGCAUGUUUUCCUCAUUUUUAAAACUAACUAACGAAAGGAGUUAAACAAAUGUCUACUCGAC
rfam:Candidatus Scalindua sp. BSI-1 SCARTB_contig000167, whole genome shotgun sequence.